rnacentral:rRNA from 1 species
GAUGAACGCUGGCGGCGUGCCUAAUACAUGCAAGUCGAGCGAACAGACGAGGAGCUUGCUCCUCUGACGUUAGCGGCGGACGGGUGAGUAACACGUGGAUAACCUACCUAUAAGACUGGGAUAACUUCGGGAAACCGGAGCUAAUACCGGAUAAUAUAUUGAACCGCAUGGUUCAAUAGUGAAAGACGGUUUUGCUGUCACUUAUAGAUGGAUCCGCGCCGCAUUAGCUAGUUGGUAAGGUAACGGCUUACCAAGGCAACGAUGCGUAGCCGACCUGAGAGGGUGAUCGGCCACACUGGAACUGAGACACGGUCCCGACUCCUACGGGAGGCAGCAGUAGGGAAUCUUCCGCAAUGGGCGAAAGCCUGACGGAGCAACGCCGCGUGAGUGAUGAAGGUCUUCGGAUCGUAAAACUCUGUUAUUAGGGAAGAGCAAAUGUGUAAGUAACUAUGCACGUCUUGACGGUACCUAAUCAGAAAGCCACGGCUAACUACGUG